rnacentral:rRNA from 1 species
AGAAUUUGAUCUUGGUUCAGAUUGAAUGCUGACGGCGUGGAUGAGGCAUGCAAGACGUACGAGGGCGUGAGCUUGCUCAUGCUCUAGUGGCGGAAGGGUUAGUAAUACAUGGAUAAUCUGCCUUUAACUUGGGAACAACGGCUGGAAACGGCCGCUAAUACCUGAUGUGGUGGGCUGAGGCAUCUUGGCUUUAUUAAAGUGGGGGAUCGUAAGACCUUACGGUUAAAGAAGAGUCCAUGGGAUAUCAGCUAGUUGGUGUGGUAAUGGCGCACCAAGGCUUAGACGUCUAGGCGGAUUGAGAGAUUGACCGCCAACACUGGGACUGAGACACUGCCCAGACUCCUACGGGAGGCUGCAGUCGAGAAUCAUUCACAAUGGGCGAAAGCCUGAUGAUGCGACGCCGUGUGAGCGAUGAAGGCCUUCGGGUUGUAAAGCUCUUUCGCUUGGGAACAAGAGAGAUUGGCAAAUAACCAGUCGAUUUGAGGGUACCAGGUAAAGAAGCACCGGCUAACUCCGUGCCAGCAGCUGCGGUAAUACGGAGGGUGCAAGCAUUAAUCGGAUUUACUGGGCGUAAAGGGCGCGUAGGCGGAAAAGAAAGUCAUAUGUGAAAUCCCGAGGCUUAACCUCGGACCCGCAUUUGAAACUCCUUUUCUAGAGGAUAGGCGGAGAAAAUGGAAUUCCACGUGUAGCGGUGAAAUGCGUAGAUAUGUGGAAGAACACCUGUGGCGAAGGCGAUUUUCUAGCUUAUUCCUGACGCUGAGGCGCGAAAGCAAGGGGAGCAAACAGGAUUAGAUACCCUGGUAGUCCUUGCUGUAAACGAUGUAUACUUGAUGUCACUGGUCUCAACCCCAGUGGUGUCGGAGCUAACGCGUUAAGUAUACCGCCUGAGGAGUACGCUCGCAAGAGUGAAACUCAAAAGAAUUGACGGGGGCCCGCACAAGCAGUGGAGCAUGUGGUUUAAUUCGAUGCUACGCGAAGAACCUUACCCAGGAUUGAACUACAGUGGACCGCACCAGAAAUGGUGCUUCUCGUAUGAGGGGCGGUGGGCGUGCCAUCGCUUUCCCGGAGGCCUGUCCUUCAUAGGACGACAGACCUCGCCUUAAGGGAGAAGUGUCGCAUGGGAGUUUUGUCUAAUAUUUGUGUAUUAGAGACCGUUUUUUCCUGUGGUUUAUUUUAUAGAUCUACCCUCAGUGGGUUAGGUAAUCGCUUUUGAAACAGGCUCUUCGCCUGAACUGUCUAAAAACGCGCAUACGUACUCCUUGGUGAUAUGCACGCU